rnacentral:rRNA from 1 species
GAUGAACGCUGGCGGCGUGCCUAACACAUGCCAGUCGAACGGAAAGACAAUAAGCUUUUGCCUUUAACGGUGGCGGGUGGCGGGCGUGUAACGAGUGUAUCAGCUCCUUAUUUUUCGUGGAGGAUAACGUAAAGCAGGUUACGAUACUAUAGCAUAUGUUGUACCGGUGAGAGCAGUGGAUAUUUGCGGCUUUCGUGGCUGUAUUAGCCGAUUUCGGGCUGUAUUGGCUGGUUGGUAGGGUAACAGCCUAUCAAGGCUACGAGGCGUAGCCGAGCGGAUAGGGUGAUCGGCCACACUGGAACUGAGACACGGUCCAGACUCCUACGGGAGGCAGCAGUGGGGAAUAUUGGGCAAUGGGCGCAAGCCUGGCCCAGCAAUGCCGCGUGGGUGAAGAAGGCCUUCGGGUCGUAAAGCCCUUUUUUUGGGAAAGAAAAGCUGUAGAUUAAUACCCGGCUGUUCUGACGGUACCCAAUAAAGAAGCACCGGCUAACUACGUG